AUAGCAUGUCAGAAGGCAGACCCGGAGAACUGAAACAUCUUAGUACCCGGAGGAAGAGAAAGAAAAAUCGAUUCCCUGAGUAGCGGCGAGCGAAACGGGAAGAGCCCAAACCAACAAGCUUGCUUGUUGGGGUUGUAGGACACUCUAUACGGAGUUACAAAAGAACAUGUUAGACGAAUCAUCUGGAAAGAUGAAUCAAAGAAGGUAAUAAUCCUGUAGUCGAAAACAUAUUCUCUCUUGAGUGGAUCCUGAGUACGACGGAGCACGUGAAAUUCCGUCGGAAUCUGGGAGGACCAUCUCCUAAGGCUAAAUACUCUCUAGUGACCGAUAGUGAACCAGUACCGUGAGGGAAAGGUGAAAAGUACCCCGGAAGGGGAGUGAAAGAGAACUUGAAACCGUGUGCUUACAAGUAGUCAGAGCCCGUUAAUGGGUGAUGGCGUGCCUUUUGUAGAAUGAACCGGCGAGUUACGAUCUGAUGCAAGGUUAAGCAGCAAAUGUGGAGCCGCAGCGAAAGCGAGUCUGAAUAGGGCGUUGAGUAUUUGGUCGUAGACCCGAAACCAGGUGAUCUACCCUUGGUCAGGUUGAAGUUCAGGUAACACUGAAUGGAGGACCGAACCGACUUACGUUGAAAAGUGAGCGGAUGAACUGAGGGUAGCGGAGAAAUUCCAAUCGAACUUGGAGAUAGCUGGUUCUCUCCGAAAUAGCUUUAGGGCUAGCCUCAAGUGAUGAUUAUUGGAGGUAGAGCACUGUUUGGACGAGGGGCCCCUCUCGGGUUACCGAAUUCAGACAAACUCCGAAUGCCAAUUAAUUUAACUUGGGAGUCAGAACAUGGGUGAUAAGGUCCGUGUUCGAAAGGGAAACAGCCCAGACCACCAGCUAAGGUCCCAAAAUAUAUGUUAAGUGGAAAAGGAUGUGGCGUUGCCCAGACAACUAGGAUGUUGGCUUAGAAGCAGCCAUCAUUUAAAGAGUGCGUAAUAGCUCACUAGUCGAGUGACACUGCGCCGAAAAUGUACCGGGGCUAAACAUAUUACCGAAGCUGUGGAUUGUCCUUUGGACAAUGGUAGGAGAGCGUUCUAAGGGCGUCGAAGCAUGAUCGCAAGGACAUGUGGAGCGCUUAGAAGUGAGAAUGCCGGUGUGAGUAGCGAAAGACGGGUGAGAAUCCCGUCCACCGAUUGACUAAGGUUUCCAGAGGAAGGCUCGUCCGCUCUGGGUUAGUCGGGUCCUAAGCUGAGGCCGACAGGCGUAGGCGAUGGAUAACAGGUUGAUAUUCCUGUACCACCUAGUAUCGUUUUAAUCGAUGGGGGGACGCAGUAGGAUAGGCGAAGCGUGCUGUUGGAGUGCACGUCCAAGCAGUAAGGCUGAGUGUUAGGCAAAUCCGGCACUCAUAAGGCUGAGCUGUGAUGGGGAGAGGAAAUUGUUUCCUCGAGUCGUUGAUUUCACACUGCCGAGAAAAGCCUCUAGAUAGAUAACAGGUGCCCGUACCGCAAACCGACACAGGUAGUCAAGAUGAGAAUUCUAAGGUGAGCGAGCGAACUCUCGUUAAGGAACUCGGCAAAAUGACCCCGUAACUUCGGGAGAAGGGGUGCUCUUUAGGGUU
rnacentral:rRNA from 1 species